rnacentral:lncRNA from 1 species
GAGAAUUGCUUGAACCCAGGAGGUGGAGGUUGCAGUGAGCUGAGAUCACACCGCUGCACUCCAGCCUCAGCAAUAGGGAGAGACUCUGUCUCAAAAAAACUAACAAACAAAAAUUCUCAACUAAGAGUCUGUGAAAAGGUUUCAAAGGGCCAAAGUACAAUACACUUUCUGAAACUGUAGGCAGUUUUUUGUGUAUCUGUGCUUAUGGCAUCUUUCUAGGAAGACAAUCCAUGGCUGUCAGCAAAUUUUCACGAGGGCUGUGGCGCAAGCACAGUAAGAACCACUGGGUUCAAGAAUCUAAAAGUCUUUAUUGAUGUAUAUUUAUAUAUUUCCUAAAUUUUGCUUUUACCUUAUGGAUAAACUAUUAAAUAUCCCAAUGUUAUAUUAACAUAAGAGCAUUGGCUGGAUGUGGUGGCUCAUGCCUAUAAUCCCAGCACUUUGGGAGGCUGAAGUGGGUAGAUGCCUUGAGCCCACGAGUUCCAAGACCAGCCUGCACAACAUGGCAAAACCCCAUCUCUAGUAAAAAUGCAAAAAUUAGCCAGGUACAGUGGUGGGUGCCUAUAGUCCCAGCUGCUCAGGAGGCUAAGGUAGGAGGAUCACUUGAGCCCAGGAGCAGAGGUUGCAGUGAGCUGAGAUUAUGCCACUGCACACCAGCCUGGGCAAAA